GCUCCCUGGGUGCACAGGCCUGAGCCACCGCUGCCUCCAGAGCUGCCCUGCGCCUGGCCCACGCUUGAGCCACGCCCUGCAGCUGCUCCUGCCUGGCGUGGAGGUCCUGCAGCAUCUUUUGGAGGAGGCCUGCUAGCUCCACCUGUAGGAGGGGCUUCAUAUAAAUAUUCGUCUUGAUCCCCACAACUGCGAUCUGCAGUCUUGCAUUUUACAGAUGAAGACCCUGAGGAUCUGAGAGGGAAACAUGCGCCGGGCCACACAGCUGGGCUCAGCUGGAAGAUCUCCUGACCUUGUGGGAUCCCCACGUGCUUCUGCUCUCCUGUCACUCAUCACCCUGCGCUGUAACUGUCUGCCUGCCUGUUACGCCCUCUUCCACCCCCGCCCUGAGCUUCCUGAGGACAAGCUCUGCCCUGUUUGCCACACAGUGCCUGGCAUGCAGUCGGUCGAUGUUAAAUAAAUAUUUGUUGGUUGGCAAGGGAAGGAACAGAUGUGCAGGGAGUAGGUUAGAGGUGGCCUUGGUAGAGAAGAAAGAGUGCUCCUUAGCUUCUGUCCUUCCUAUCGGUCUUUUCUGGGGAAGGAGGCAGCACGGGGGAGGUGCUUGCCACCAGGGACCCAGGGACGCUGACCAGGUUGCUCAUCCAUUAUUAGGGACAAUCGGGCGGGCAGGCAGAGCAGUAGUGGCUGGAAAUUGAUACCUCCCCAGGGCAGCAGGGAGCCAGGGGAAGAGCUGGUGGGUGUGCCUGCGUGGGGUUAGGGCAGCUCUGAGGCCUGGGCGUCUGGGGGUCCCAGUGAAUGAUGGGGGCGCUUGCCUUUCUGGCACUGCAUGGUGGGGACCACAGAGUAGGUGGCCUGAUGCUGGGUCAUUUGAGUCCCCGGGUGCUAUUUAGAGUUCAGUCACCCUCCAUCCACCUCCUUGAGGCCCAGCAUGCUACAGAUUGUUGGUCAGGGUAGAGAAGGGGUUACUAGUACGAAGAAGAAGUGUUCCCUAAAAGGGAGAGGCAGAUCGGCAACAUUCCCAGGACCUCAGCAGACCUGCACCAGGACAUCUUGUUGCCACCUACUAUGGGCAUCCUCAUGCCCACUAAGCCCAGCCCUGCGGGUUGGUCCUCACACUCCACCUUGGCGAUGUGUUCUGCAAAGUGUUUCCAUUCUGUAGACUUCAGGAGGAAAGAGGCUAAGUGGCGGCUCCUAGGAGGACAGUCACCUCUCCAAGAAGUCCACCUGGCUCUCAGAUGCCAGCGCUCUCUCUUCCUAGUCCUUCUAAGCCCAGACCAUUACCAGCUCAUGCCACCUACACCUGCCCAUGUUGACCUGCCACACACAGGUAAGGGUGAUCAAAUAGAGAGACGCCCUCAAAAGAGGCUGUGAGCAUCUAUCUUAUCUGGAAGGUACUGUGUUAACUAAGGAUUCUGAAUUCAUCAAAUAAAAACAGCCUGAAUGGGCAACCAAAAUGUGUACACAUGUUUUCUUA